UGUUCGCCAAACAACUACGAGUCCCACUUAAAACUUAAAAGACUUGACGGUACUUCAUCACGGCCUAGAGGAGCCUGUCUAAUAACCGACAAUCCACGAUUAACCCCACCCCUUCUCGCCUUACAGUCUAUAUACCGCCGUCGCCAGCUUACCUUGUAAAAGAAAAAAAGUGAGCUAAACAGUACUGCACUAAAACGACAGGUCGAGGUGUAACCUAUGAAAGGGACUACGAUGGGCUACAUUCUUCAACCAAGAACACGAAUAACACUAUGAAAUUAAUGCUUGAAGGCGGAUUUAGCAGUAAGAUAAGAAUAAAACACUUAACUGAACAUGACGCAAUGAAGUGCGUACACACCGCCCGUCACCCCUGUCACCAC
rnacentral:rRNA from 1 species